GAGCCACCGUGCCCGGCCUAUUCCUCCAGUCCUGGUGCAUGAGGAGGAGAGAGCAGGAAAGUUGACUGGUGUGCACACGUUUGCCCCAAUGUUCCCCACAUCUAACCCCUUGGAGUGGGAGCCCAGAGACAGUGGACUCUUCUUCUGCUCCAUGUUUGGAAUCCUUGGAGGAGACCCUAUCUCAACACGGGGGUGUGGGCAGGAGAUUGUUUCAACCAGAGGGGUCAAGAGAGCAUUGAUGACAAAUUAAAGUCCCUUCCGCUACCCACGGGAGAAGGUCUCAUGGAGGAGAGAACUGGAGAAGCAGCGUGGCCCCUGCACACCUGAGCGCUUCGAGUGAACCUGAGCUCCUGCCGCCUCGGUGUGCUGGGAUUGACUGUUUGGGGCUGAACUGCCCCAUCAGCCCCCAGUGACUUAGAAUGUGCCUGCAUUUGGGGGCAGGGCCUGAAGGAGGCAAUUAAGUUAAGAUGAGGUCACUAGAGUGGGCCCUGUCCAGUCUGACGGGUGUCCUUAUAAGAAGGGGGGAGUAGGACACAGACGCACAGGGGGCGACCACGUGAGGAUGCAGGGAGAAGGCAGCAUCUGCAAGCCAAAGAGAGAGAACGCAGAAGAAGACAACCCUGCCGGCACCUUCAUCUUGGACUUCCAGCCUCCAGAGCUGUGAGGAAAUGAUUUUCUGUUGUUUAAUGCCCCCUGCCUGUGGCACUUUGCUACAGCACUCCUGGCAAACUCAUACAACCAUCAUGCUCCAGGACACAGGAGGCAGAAAUCCCUGCGGACAGCUGUGUCCCAGAGAGACCCUGGGACACCUGCUGUUCUGUGGGUUCCCAGGGCUGAGCACUAAUCCCCAUGCAUGGAAAGGGAACCAGAAAGUUCAGACUUUCCGGGUUCAAUUUUAUCCUGAAUAAACUGAGUUUUGUGGA